rnacentral:lncRNA from 1 species
UUAGCUAUAAUAGUUGAUGGAAGUGAUUAAAAAGCACAGUAUUGUUGUUCUUCAGCUAGCUAACUAUUCUAGCAAAAUGAAAAGUACUCGCUAUAUACAGCGAGUACUGCAACAUUUCUCAAUUAGCCGCCUUGCUGGUGGCGCCAGAGAAGGCUUGCCACAGGGUUUGCUCGCAGCUGCUUAGCUUUAAACCUUGCAAAAACUGAAAACAUCAAAGCAGACAGAAAACAGAGAUGAAGUAUUAUAACAACUGCGCAAUAACAGUGAUGAAGAGGCAAAGGGUUUGCUAUGAAAGCUUCGGCGGUGGUUGGAUGUUGGUCUUGGUACGUCGGCCUUGACGUUGGAGGUAAUUAAUCACCCCUUCUUCUUGUUUUUUUUUUCUUCGCUUAAUUUCUUUUUAGGUUUAUCAAUCUGUUAAUUUUUUUGCGUGAAAUUGAAAGAAUUUGUUUGGUUCUCAAGAAACUAUAAGAGGAAGGAAAGGAAAGUGAAGUGAUUCGAAGUUCUGCGUGUGAUAUAUAUAUCUGCUGCUUUCAUUUUUUUUUACGACUAAUGGAUUUUAUUUUUAAAAAGAGUAGUAGUUUUUAUCAAAGUUGAAGCUUUGAAAGUGGAAAUCGAGGGCUAAUUCGCUAUUUAAAUUUCAAUGUUUUUUUUUUCUUUACUAUGUAAACAAAGAAUUGAAAUUAAAAUGGAUGUUAAAAACGGGAACCAGAGCUUGUAAACUGGUUAGCUAAUAUUUUUACUAAUGGAGAAACAAGAAGUGUAAGAUUUGCAUCUUGUUGUUACUGCUUUUCCUCUAGUUUCUCAGGGAUGAUUAACACCCAUUGAAUAUUUAUGGCACGUGAAGAACCAUGUUGUGGCUAGUCAGGGGUGUUUCUGAUAGAAUUGGCUUCAUAUUUGCCAGGGUGAUCAUUCUCGUCCGACGCGUGUUAGAGUUUGAUGUCCGGUGCAAGAAAGGUUGCUAGGGUUGGCCAGGAGAUAUGAUCUCUAGAGCUUUAGUGUGAUCUCCAAGUAAAUAAACACACAAAUAAUUCUAGAAAAAAAAAAAAGGGGUGCUGGACCCGAGCAUAUAAAUUAGUAAUUAAUUUAUUAAAAUGAG